GACGAACGCUGGCGGCGUGCUUAACACAUGCAAGUCGAACGGAAAGGCCCUGCUUUUGUGGGGUGCUCGAGUGGCGAACGGGUGAGUAACACGUGAGUAACCUGCCCUUGACUUUGGGAUAACUUCAGGAAACUGGGGCUAAUACCGGAUAGGAGCUCCUGCUGCAUGGUGGGGGUUGGAAAGUUUCGGCGGUUGGGGAUGGACUCGCGGCUUAUCAGCUUGUUGGUGGGGUAGUGGCUUACCAAGGCUUUGACGGGUAGCCGGCCUGAGAGGGUGACCGGCGACAUGGGGACUGAGAGACGGCCCAGAAUCCUACGGGAGGCAGAAGUGGGGAAUAUUGCACAAUGGGCGGAAGCCUGAUGCAGAAACGCCGCGUGCGGGAUGACGGCCUUCGGGUGGUAAACCGAUUUCGCCUGUGACGAAGCGUGAGUGACGGUAAUGGGUAAAGAAGCACCGGCUAACUACGUG
rnacentral:rRNA from 1 species